ACGAACCGUCCAAACGUUAUUCGGAAUCACUGGGCUUACAGAGUUCGUAGGCGGCGGAGAAAGUAGGGUGUGAAAGCCCUCGGCUCGACCGAGGAAUUGCGCCCUAAACUACUUUGCUUGAGGAGGCUAGAGGUGAGCAGAACAGAUGGUGGAGCGGUGAAAUGCGUUGAUAUCAUCUGGAAUACCGGAGGCGAAGGCGG
rnacentral:rRNA from 1 species